CCUACGGGUGGCAGCAGUGAGGAAUAUUGGUCAAUGGACGAGAGUCUGAACCAGCCAAGUAGCGUGAAGGAUGACUGCCCGAUGGGUUGUAAACGUCUGGUAUAAAGGAAUAAAACGAGGCACGUGUGCCGUUUUGCAUGUACUUUAUGAAUAAGGAUCGGCUAACUCCGUGCCAGCAGCCGCGGUAAUACGGAGGAUCCGAGCGUUAUCCGGAUUUAUUGGGUUUAAAGGGAGCUUAGAUGGGUUGUUAAGUCAGUUGGGAAAGUUUGCUGCUCAACCGUAAAAUUGCAAUUGAUACUGGCAGUCUUGUGUACAGUUGAGGUAGGCGGUAUUCGUUGUGUAGCGG
rnacentral:rRNA from 1 species